rnacentral:rRNA from 1 species
GAUGAACGCUGGCGGCGUGCCUAAUACAUGCAAGUCGAGCGAACAGACGAGGAGCUUGCUCCUCUGACGUUAGCGGCGGACGGGUGAGUAACACGUGGAUAACCUACCUAUAAGACUGGGAUAACUUCGGGAAACCGGAGCUAAUACCGGAUAUUAUAUUGAACCGCAUGGUUCAAUAGUGAAAGACGGUUUUGCUGUCACUUAUAGAUGGAUCCGCGCCGCAUUAGCUAGUUGGUAAGGUAACGGCUUACCAAGGCAACGAUGCGUAGCCGACCUGAGAGGGUGAUCGGCCACACUGGAACUGAGACACGGUCCAGACUCCUACGGGAGGCAGCAGUAGGGAAUCUUCCGCAAUGGGCGAAAGCCUGACGGAGCAACGCCGCGUGAGUGAUGAAGGUCUUCGGAUCGUAAACUCUGUUAUUAGGGAAGAACAAAUGUGUAAGUAACUAUGCACGUCUUGACGGUACCUAAUCAGAAAGCCACGGCUAACUACGUG